CCUACGGGCGGCAGCAGUGGGGAAUAUUGCACAAUGGGGGAAACCCUGAUGCAGCGACGCCGCGUGAGUGAAGAAGUAUUUCGGUAUGUAAAGCUCUAUCAGCAGGGAAGAAAUAGCGACCUUUGGGUCGCCAGACGGUACCUGACUAAGAAGCCCCGGCUAACUACGUGCCAGCAGCCGCGGUAAUACGUAGGGGGCAAGCGUUAUCCGGAUUUACUGGGUGUAAAGGGAGCGUAGACGGCAGCACAAGUCUGAAGUGAAAUGCCGGGGCUUAACCCCGGAACUGCUUUGGAAACUGUGCAGCUAGAGUGCAGGAGAGGUAAGUGGAAUUCCUAGUGUAGCGGUGAAAUGCGUAGAUAUUAGGAGGAACACCAGUGGCGAAGGCGGCUUACUGGACUGUAACUGACGUUGAGGCACGAAAGCGUGGGGAUCAAACAGGAUUAGAUACCCGAGUAGUC
rnacentral:rRNA from 1 species